GGGGCUGUAGUUAACCAUAACAUUUGGUUUGCAACCAAAAAGUACUAUAAAGUCUGCCUUA
rnacentral:tRNA from 1 species